GACGAACGCUGGCGGCGUGCUUAACACAUGCAAGUCGAACGGUGAAGCGCUUUCUUUUUUGGUGGGUGUGGUUGAGAGGCGAACGGGUGAGUAACACGUGCGUAACCUGCCCUCUUCUUUUGGAUAACCGCAUGAAAGCGAGGCCAAUACGGGAUAUCCUGGGUCUGUCGCAUGAUGGGACUGGGUAAGCUAUUGUUUAGGUGGGGGCUGGUCAUGCGGCGUAUCAGCUUGUUGGUGGGGUGAUGGCCUAUCAAGGCGGUGAGGGGUAGCCGGCCUGGGAGGGUAGACGGUCUCAGUGGGUGUGCGGCACGACCCGGACUGCUACGGGGGGCAGCAGUGGAGAGUAGUGAGCAGUGGGGGCAAGCCUGAUGCGGCGGCGCGGCGGAUGCAGUGAAGGCGUUCGGGUUAUGAACCUCUUUCGCCAGUAAAGCGGGCCUGCCUCGUAUGUAGGUGGGUUGACGGUAGCUGGUAAAGAAGCACCGGCUAACUACGUG
rnacentral:rRNA from 1 species